CUUUUUCCUGUCUGAAGUGAUGGACCAAACAUCUGUGCAGAAGGAGGCACAUCCUGGAGGAAGCAUAUCCUCAUGGGUAGCCCCUGCUGCAGGAAGGAAGGCGAUGCCAGACACGGGCACAGGCACAGCAGAUGCAGCCAGCACCACAACACGUGUUCGUGAUGCCCAGAAAGGCCUCAGAAGUGUCUUCCAUAUGGGAACAGGCUGCUGGGCAAGGUUAAUGGCAGGCCUGCUUCUGUUGGACCUUGUUCUCAUAUUGUGCUGUGUCAGAAUCUGGUGUAACUGGAAGAAGAAAUGGAGCACCUCUGGAACUUCACAAGACCAGCCAAAGGCCUCAGUGCGGGAGAACUGGGCCUGUCAUCAUGCAUCUCCGUGCCAGUGUCCAUUGUCCCUUCCAGAGGUGUAUUACCAGCUUAUUGCUGGAAAUAUGCUGCAGCCAGUACCUAGAACAGAACCGUCUCUCCCUGAAGGGCCUGGCGUCGCUCUCCAUCCAGGACAGGACGUGCAGCCCUCUAGCCAGGGAAUGGAUUGUUCCAGAAGUUAUAUUUACUUGUAAAAAUUUUAAAUGUUUAUUAAAAACCUUAUUAGAAAUAUAACAGGACACUGAAUAAGGAAAAUGUUACGUCGUCGGGAGUAGAGGUUUUUUCCCACCACAUGCUCAUCCACACAAUGGAGGUUUCACCUUUUAACUCUUUUGCCCUUCUUAAAGUUCUGUCCAUCGACUCCUUUUUUGAUGCCCAGUGGUGGAGUUUACUUCCUUACAUCUCACUUGGAGGUCAGGUGCUGCUGUCGUAGCAAUUUGACCCUCUUAUAUGUCCCAAACUUAA